UUAAAAAAAAACAAUUUGAGCCCAAAUCAAAUAAUGAUGGAGCCCAACCCAAAAACACAAAAAGAAAGAACAAAUUUUGUAGCCCAUUAAGAAAAGAGUCCAAAGGAAACUAAUCCCCUCUCCCUCUUGGUUAAACCGUCUCCUUCACUCUCCUUCACAAAUUCCCCCAAUUUCAUAGAUCCUCAAUUCCAGAAACUCAAUUUCCGUCGGUCUCCAUCGACCUCACUCACGCCGGCGACCAAUACGCUGUUUCGCCACCAUCCCCGAACACCACCACCGUCGUCUCCUCCGCGGAAACCGCCGAUGCAGCAAGGGAAAAGGCAGUCGUCGUUCAGCCGCCGCCGCCGUUUCGCCGAUUGCCACCGUCGCUGUGGAGUCACUACUGCUCCGUCGGUGGUCGUGCAGCCCCGAAACUAAUCCGAACAGCCCCGAUUCCCUCCGAACAGACACCGCGCAGCACCGAACAACUCCGAACAGCCCCCGUACAGCCCCGAAACGUCCCGAAAGAUAAGUUUCCUUUACAAGUUAUGUUUAUUGUUGAAUUUGUUCAUGUGGGAGUCGAGUUGGGAGGUUGUGUAUUCCACAAAAUGAUAUGAAUGCUUUAUGAAACAAAGGUGGGAAGUGAGGAGUAACCAUGUACCUUCUGCCAAUAGAUUUGUGAAGAGGUUGGAUGAUUGUUAGUCUCGGUCUAGGUUCUAUGACUUGGAUGUUUAAUGAAUGAAGAUUGGGCAGCCCUUCACUUGGUUUCUGCCGUGAGUUUCAUCGGAAGAACAAUUUGUUAUUUGUGAUCAACACUUGGAAAUCAAAAGAAAGAUGGAAUGGACAUUACCGGAUUGAAUGUGGAAGAUGGAAGAUAAAGAGUAUGGAAAAUGGAAGAUCAUGAGUGGGCGUUAGGGGAGAAAGAAGGAAGAAGUUCCUGGGCUUGCAAGCAAAAUUUUCCAUGAGGGAAUUGGGCUCAAAGACAUCUCUCACAACUUAAUUAAAUUGUUUGGGCUCAUUUUGUUGCAGAGCCCAAAUUUGUAUAAUUAUUUAUUUGUUGGAUUUUUUUUUCGAUUGUCAUGGCCCAAAGCCAUUUUUAUAAAAACAUUUGGACUCCAAUUUUAUUUGAGAA